AUUGAACGCUGGCGGCAUGCUUUACACAUGCAAGUCGAACGGUAACAGGCCGCAAGGUGCUGACGAGUGGCGAACGGGUGAGUAAUGCAUCGGAACGUGCCCAGUCGUGGGGGAUAACGCAGCGAAAGCUGCGCUAAUACCGCAUACGAUCUCUGGAUGAAAGCGGGGGACCGAAAGGCCUCGCGCGAUUGGAGCGGCCGAUGUCAGAUUAGGUAGUCGGUGGGGUAAAGGCCCACCAAGCCAACGAUCUGUAGCUGGUCUGAGAGGACGACCAGCAACACUGGGACUGGGACACGGCCCAGACUCCUACGGGAGGCAGCAGUGGGGAAUUUUGGACAAUGGGCGCAAGCCUGAUCCAGCAAUGCCGCGUGCAGGAAGAAGGCCUUCGGGUUGUAAACUGCUUUUGUACGGAACGAAACGGUCCGGGUUAAUACCCUGGGCUAAUGACGGUACCGUAAGAAUAAGCACCGGCUAACUACGUGCCAGCCGCCGCAGUAACAC
rnacentral:rRNA from 1 species